UGAACGCUGGCGGUAUGCUUAACACAUGCAAGUCGAACGCCCCUUCGGGGGAGUGGCGGACGGGUGAGUAACGCGUGAGAAUCUGCCUUCGGGUCGGGGACAACCACCGGAAACAGUGGCUAAUACCGGAUGUGCCGAGAGGUAAAAGAUUUAUUGCCAGAAGAGGAGCUCGCGUCUGAUUAGCUAGUUGGUGGGGUAAAGGCCUACCAAGGCGACGAUCAGUAGCUGGUCUGAGAGGAUGAGCAGCCACACUGGGACUGAGACACGGCCCAGACUCCUACGGGAGGCAGCAGUGGGGAAUUUUCCGCAAUGGGCGAAAGCCUGACGGAGCAAUACCGCGUGAGGGAGGAAGGCUUUUGGGUUGUAAACCUCUUUGAUCAGGGAAGAAGAAAGUGACGGUACCUGAGGAAAAAGCAUCGGCUAACUCCGUGCCAGCAGCCGCGGUAAU
rnacentral:rRNA from 1 species